ACCCCUCAAAUCAGCUUUCCCCUCACUUCAGAAGCAAUGGAUUUAGCUGUAAUGUUACUGCUCUGUCUAUACUCAUCAUGGUUAUUUAUCUGCUCUGUGAUAACACUUUACAUUAAAAAAAAAAAAAAGCCUUAAAAUAACUUGACCAGAUUCUCCAAGUCAACAUGUAUUAAAAAUCAGGGGGAGAAAGACAGACUAACUUAAAGACACAGAACAGAGCUAACAAGGUUUGCAACUGCAUGAAUAGUUACACACUUUACAUUUAACUGUUUGCAAAUGUAGAGCUCUACUGAAGUGUAAGGGUCAGAAGAAGCUGGCAUCACCUUGUUACAACGUUCUCUGUGAAAGAGGUAUCUGGCUGGGUUUCCCACUCACAGGGCUAAAACGGUUAAGCAUUUAAUUGCUUAGAAAGUAAUCCUAUUAUUUCAGAUUUUUGUGCAUAAUGAAUUCUUUUUUUCCUCUAGUUUGAGAACUUAUGAAGGGCAAGUGAGAUCCUCUGGUAAAUUUAUUUUUGAAAAGGCCCUCGACAGAUGUUGUAACAUCUAAGCAGCGUCGGUCUCAGGCAGAGGCUCUGAGCAGCAGAUCGGGGCGGUGGGGGGGUUGGGUAUCAGAGGGUGGACUAUGCCAGACCCACGUGACAGUCAAAUGAGGUGAUGUCUGCCUUUGGUGCUGAGCAUGAAAUCACCGUAAAAACAGGACUUUUGAGAAGCAGGGCAUAAAUGAAUCCUUUGUUUCAUCAAAGCCUCUAAUGUUUCUCAUAGGAAGUGGUGCGUUUGAGGAAAUGUCUCAGUCCUGAGCAUUUAAUAGUCAGUAUGCGCGCCUGUGAGACGUUUGGGGGAAAGAGGGAAUGCCUUUACAGUUUCUGACACAAAUGACUGGACAAGAAGGUGAUUAGAAGAAGCAGAGGAGGGGGAGGAAAGGACAGAUGGGUCAACAGAGGUGUUGGAUGAAGAAACUGCAGGCACCGCUGAGCUCGAUAGGAAUUUGUUGCUUGUGUGGAUGGGAUGGACAGAGUGAAAAGGUUUGUGGUCACACAGAAAGGUCAGUCAACGCUCUUCCUUGAAGACCCUCUGUCUUCCCAGCUUGCAUCACUGGAAAAUGGGAACUUCCGAUUAAGUUGAUUAAUAUGCCCUAAAUGAACCACUUAAUUUCAAAAAAAAAGUGUUCAAAGCCUCCAGUAACAUUCACACCGCACAGAACAAUCCAGCCAUGAUUGAUGUGUCUCUUUGAUGAGUCAUAAAGCCCUUUAGGAUAAUGCAGUCCCUGGGCAUCAUUUAUCACCGCACAGUUCAGCAAAAGCAUCCUGUGAACUCUCCUCUGCAAAUAACGUUGAUUUUUGAUAAAUAGGGCUUUAUUUUACUUACAUUUUAAUUCUUGCUUUUAGAUUAUGAAAACAUGCUCUUAUCUGAUCUGUGCUUGAAGUUUUGACAGGAGAAUUUUGCAGGAGGGGCCACCACAGCCUUGACCUUGGUUGAUGGGUUUGACCUUUGCUAAGUGGGUUGCUAGGGGCGCUGAGAACAGGAUCUUCUGGAAGUGAGAAGAAUGGGCACAAGCAAAAAACUGAGAUUUGGGGUUUUAUGUUGUUGCGUUUCUCUCUGCGACCUUGCCUAUAUUUACAAUUUAAUGAGAUUGACAUCUUUUUUAUUAUGCUUUUUAAACUUUUUCAUUGCUCUUCAAAGAUAGUUUAGGACGUUUUCAUUAUUUUGCCUUUUUUUGCUGUUGUUGUUUUUGUUUUUUGUCUUUUUGCCUUUUCUAGGGCCGCACCUGUGGUAUAUGGAGGUUCCCAGGCUAGGGGUCCAAUCGGAGUUACAGCUGCCAGCCGAUGCCAGAGCCACAGCAAUGCCAGAUCCGAGCCACGUCGGUGACCUACACCACAGCUCAUGGCAAUGCCGGAUCCUUAACCCACUGAGCAAGGCCAGGGAUCGAACCCGCAACCUCAUGGUUCCUAGUCGGAUUCGUUAACCACUGCGCCAUGACGGGAACUCCUAUUUUGCCUUUUGAAUUUAGUAAAACAUCUAAAGAUUAUGUAUUCACAACAUACAAGAAGCUGAGAAUUAUUCUUGCUCACCCCCCACCCCAUAUCUCCAUCUCCCCAGACAGCACACUCAUUAACAUGCCUGCCUUGAGCUGCUAUUCCAGUAAAGCUUUUUUUUUUUUCUUUUCUGAGUUGCAUCAUAGAGCCUCUAAAGAAUAGUACUCUGACAGAGGGUCUGCAUAACAUUUUACCUGUAAAGAAAAAUCAGGAGGGAAGCCAUUAGCCAGAGGAAAGUUUCAGGAGGACGUGGAGCAAGCUGAUGAUGAGGCAAGGUGACGAUGAAUCUGUCUAACAUGUUAUUACGGCAACUUGAGAAAAAAUCCUCAUCCCCGGAGAAAACCCACCAGAGCUAUGUGUUUGCCAGGUCCUGCAAAGCUGUUUUUCUGUCGCUGGAGGUGAGAGGCUGUCACAUCAUUUGCCUGGGAGAAAAUUCUCAUGGGAAGGCUGCUGUGGGGGGUGAGCCGUCAGCCUCCUCCCUCACCUGCGUCCCCACCUUUCCCCCAGAGCCCGGGCUGCCAGCCAGGUCCCCAGGUCCCUGCAGUUAGAACCCUCUCCUCCCUCUGGUGCUUUCUGUAACUGCCUGAAAAGACAUCACUUUGUCCAGGGCACAAUCUGAUCCCAUUUGGUGACCCAUCUGUUCCAACUACCUUGGAACCUACCUUGUCGUAUCUGCAUCAUCACCCCCAAAUGUUGUCCUUGCUCUGACACUUUAGACAGACAUUAUCCCGGCUCUGAGACAUCACGUGAAUACAUAAGAGAGGAAGUUUGAAAGGAAAGAUGAACAGAGGGAAGGACUGAUGUCCCAUCAUUUGGUCUGUAGAUAGGAAGAAAUGGAAACUGUGGAUGAAGACAGAACAUUGACAGAUCUCUUACAACUAUAUAUCUUUGUAUCUAUAUCUAUAUAUAUUUAGAAGACAGAGUUUAUGUCUAUUAAAUUUUCAGAAGGUGCAAAGACCCAAAGCUAUCUAGGUUUAACAUCUGCCAUAUUAUACACAUCUGUUGUGUUAGAUGAUGAGAUGGAAACGGAUACGAUGACUCCUGCUAAUGAAUAAAUCUGGAAUGGCUGAUGGGUACCCAGAAUCCUGAGUGACGUGGGGGAUGUGUGCACCUACUAUGUGCUAGGUCCUAAAACCAAUGCCUAAAACUUGUUGUCUCCCUUCCUUGCAAAACAACCAUGGGAGCUGCAGAUCGCUCACUUCCCAUAGGUGUGGAAAGGGAGGCUCAGAGCCUGCCCCAUAUCACGCUGCAGAGCCGGGAUUCGCACUGCAGAACCUUGGCUCUGAAUGACCUUAACGUCUGUGCUCUUCUCACGAUGGAAUAUGAAAGAAGAACCUUGAACUUUCCGAGGAGAAAUGCAGAGACACCUACCUACCCGCAGACAGCGAGCAGAGGACACGGGCCCGGGGCCCUUAGAGCAACGGUCCCCAGGGGAAGCGCCCCCUGCCACCUCGGGAGCCCUGGUCCUCUGGUUCUGGCAUGAUGUGGCAGUGAUCUUUUAUGCCAGCCUGGAAGCUCCUUGAUCUUAGUUCACCUACUUUUACAUUCGCUCACACAAACCUUAACACCUAGCAGGAGCUCCACAUGAUGUGUUAGAUAAAAGAUUAUGAGGCAGAUUCUGCAUCAAAUCCUAGAGGCUGGACUUUUCCACUCAUCCAGAGAGCUUGCUUCAUGGCAGCACUUUCUCAGGCUUGGGCUGCGUUUUAUAAGCAUCUGGGACACCAUCCGGACACAUCAGACACAUCGGCCACACGGCCCUCCACCUGCCUCUGCUGACUGUUAAGGCUGCUUCCUCACAAACAUGAGGGCUUGCUGUUGACGUCUCAUUCACAUGUUUCAAUUGGUUUUUCCCCUGCGUGAAUUCUGGUUGGGGAAUAACAAAUACAUGAAAAUAAGUGAGGGAAAUAAAAAGGAAAGGUUGGUGGGGGGGUUGCCGAAGCUUCACAUCCUGUUUCUCACAAGAAAAGUUAUAAAUGCUGAAUCGCCAUCCAAUCAAAGAAUAACGCGGAGGUGAAUCUACGUCUGAUACCCUGACAGGUGUGAUUUAAUGCAGCCUCAGGAAGGCCCAGCUGAUCAGCACCCAUGCUUAUGAGAUCUGCUCGGGGGGGCGGUGUGGAGAGGGUGGAAGUGCACCGACAGCCCUUUCUGUAAACACAGGGCUUUAAAAGCUGCCACACAUUACCCCAUCUGCCUGAUGCACAGGCAGCAGUACACAGGCUUGAAUCCACCACGAGAAAGGAGGAUUAGCCAUGUGCUUGGAUCACUGUGUGACAGCUCUGGUCCCACAGUCUUCCGUGAGGGCCCCUGAAGCACAGAUACCUGACCAUGUCCCCUGCUCCAAGGCAGCACCAAGCAAUGAAGCCUUCAUCCGCUCUGAGAACAAGUUGUCUGUUUCCCACUAGGAGGGGAUUUUGCAGUGAAUGUAGGUAGAAAUGGCCAGUCUGGGUAACUUCCCGGCUUCCCUCCCUUGAAGCCUCUUGUGGCUUCUUUUGCCGUAACGGGGAUAAAUUCCUAGAACAAGAGACAUAGUAUUCUGACAGCAAAGAAAAUUCUGAAAGCCAUACCCUUUCCCUCAGUUUCAGUGCCACCACUCUUUUAAAGAAGUAUGAUUUCAUUUGUAUAUUGCACUUGCCAGAUCUGCCAAGAGUGUCUAUCAGGUAGAGGACAUCACCCUCUUCGUCUCCCAAUGAUAUACGUCACCUCCCAGGGGCCGUCACUGAAACUGGUUUCUUGUGUUUUCUCCCAGAGGUCCUCUGUUUAUCUACAAGCAUAUGUACAUAUGUAACACAAAUGGAAUUAUCCUCUAUACACUAUUAGGCACCAUGUUUUCUUUUCUCAUUGGUCAGUUUAUCUUGGAAAGAUCAUUCCCACAUCAGCACAUUUAGAGCAUCUUCAUCUUUUGAGGCUCCGUGGUAUUCUCUUUGUGGAUAAACUCUUAUUUCCUUCCCUUCCCUCUCUAGACAUUUGAGUUGUCAUCGUCAUCUUUUUUGAGUGGUGGCACCCGCAGCAUGUGGAGGUUCCCGGGUCAAGGAUUGAAUCUGAGCCGCAGCUACAGUUAUGCCAGAUCCUUUAACCCACUGUGCCAGGCUGGGAAUCAGACCCAUGCUUCCACAGUGACCUGAGCCGCUGCAGUUGGAUUCUUAACCCGCUGCACCACAGUAGGAACUCCUUCCAUUUUUACCAAUACAGACAGUGCUUCAAGGACUAUUACUUGAGUCAUGUUUGAGUAUUCAUGUAGGGUGAACUCCUAUCAGAGGAGCUGGUGUGCCAAAAGAGUAAGUUCCACAUAGCAUCCCUCUCAGGUGUAAGCACACAGAGGGCGCAGGCAUGUGAACCCACCUUGUUCUGGCUUGAAUCUGCUCCUGGCCUCUAGCUCUCUACCCCAGCCACACGAAACCACUGUCAAAUGCUGUGCCGUCCUCAGACCUCUCCGUUUACUUCUUCUCUCAGCCCGAACAGUCCCUGUUCCUCACUAUCCUACCCCCUUUUGGGCACAUGAUCCUUUGGAUUUCAAACUGGACAGUGCCACGUCCUCCUGGCAGCUUCCUCUCUCCUCAGGAAAGAGCAUACGAGCCUCCCUGUGUGCAUCCGCAGCACCCUGGCUUUUACCUGAGAGCAGAGCACAUACAGAAAACCAAAAAUGGAUUCACAAGCCAACACACAUGCAAAACAUUACAGACUGGGAGAUGGAUUGUAAUGGAAAUAGAGAAUGAUAUAGGGAAUAACGAAAGAACUGCUUUCAUAGGAUGCUCGGUGUGAGAAGGAGAGUCAUGGGAUGGGCAUUCUGGGAUGUGGGGAGAGCAAGGAUGGAGACACUAAGGUGGAAGAACUUGGCUUGUUUGAGAAACUGAACCAGAUCACAAAUAGCUGGAGGAUAGGGAGGCGCUAGCUAGGAGAGGGGUAGAUUAGAUCUAAGAUACAGGCAGGGACAAAUACACAAUGGAAUAUUAUCCGGCCAUAAAAAAGAAUGAAAUCUUGUCAUUUGCAACAUGGGUGGACUUUGAGGGCAUUGUGCUAAAUAAGCCAGACAGAGAAAGAUAAAUACUGUGUGCCCUCCCUUAUAUAUGGACUCUAAAAAACAAACAAAAACAAAAACUCAUAGAUACAGAGAACAAAUUGGUGGUUGUGGGGGGAGCAAUGGGAGAAGGGGUCAAAAGAUACUUCCAGCUAUAAAAUAAGUAAGUCCUGGGAUGUGAUGUAUAGAAUGGCGAUGAAAGUUAAUGUUACUGUCUUUAUUGUUUGCUAAUGUUUGAAAGUGGCUAAGAGAAUGGGUCUUAUAAGUCCUCAUUACAAGAAAAAAAGGUUUUUUAACCACAUAAGGUGAUGGAUGCUAACCAGACUUAUUGUGGUGAUCAUUUCACAAUGUAUAUUCAAAUAUUAAAUCAUGUUGGAUACCUAAAACUAAUAUAAUGUUAUAUGUCAAUUAUACUUUAGUGAAAAACUGUUCUUUUGAAGGAAUAAGGCAGUAGUAAAUUACAAGGGAAAAAAAACUAGGCUAUGUGAGGAGUGGGGAUUACUCUAAGUACAGUGAGAGCCAUUGAAAGGUUUGUGUAGGUGAGUGACAUGCUUUGAUUUACCUUUUAGGAAGAAAAGAACAUGCCUUUUAGCAAACGAGUGCUCUGUGAUUAGGGGUGGGGGUGGGAGCAGUAACGGUGGCCUGGACCAGAAUGGUAGCCGUGGAAACAGAAAUUGAUGGAAUGAGAUAUUUUGAAAGAAAAGCCAGCAGGAUCUGCUAGUCGAUGUGGUAGCGAGGGAAAUAAAUGAGUAAUGGAAGCUCCCAGGUGUGUGGCUUGAGCAACUGACUGAAGCUGGGGAGCUUAAACAGGAUGGGUAGAUAUGGAGGAAGUGGGUGAAUCUGAGGGACAUUUAGGAAGGAGGAUGAGGAGGAUGUGAUCUUACUGGAUGUGGGGAGGGUAAUGGAAUUGAGGUUGAGGAAGGAGGACUCCCAAGAUUUUCAGUUAUGCACUUAAAUGGAUCAGAGUAUGAUAAGAAACAUUGGAGGGAGCCUGGGUUUGAGGAAGAUAAUAGUGUGACUUCAGUUUGGUAUUUGCCAGAUCUGUAGAGUAAGGGCCUUUGAAACAUUCACGUGAAGAGGAUGAGUAGAGAAUUGGCUAAAGUUUUGGAUCUCAGAGGAGAUGUGUGGGUAGGAGAUAUAUCUGUAGGAGUUAGUGAUGUACCGUUGGUAAUUGGAGUCAUAAAAGUAGUUGAGAUGGACCAGAACCAGUUUUAUCCAGUAAGCAGAGGAUCCAGGUCCAAACCCUGAGGAACUACAUUUAAAGCUCAGUUGGAACUGCCAGGUUUGGAGGACAGUGGAGGCUGCCUAAUUCUGUUGUGAGCCACACAGGCAGUCCAAGUGGCUGCAUAAUUCUGAAUCUUCCCACUUACCUUCCCCAAAUAUCUAGAAACCCAAAAAAGAGAGGAAAUAAAACCACACAUGACCCACCCCUUCAGCAGUACCAGGAGAUAGAGAAUGAGAAUCAUGAUGCUCCAAUUACCUGUAAAUAGAAAACUAAUCAAAUUCCAACAGCUUCUGUCAUCACUGUGUACACUCACCACUGCAAACUGAUGGGUGUGGACAGCAGGGGAAAAGAAGCUUAAGAGG
ensembl:lncRNA